UACGUAGGGUGCGAGCGUUAAUCGGAAUUACUGGGCGUAAAGCGUGCGCAGGCGGUUUUGUAAGCCAGAUGUGAAAUCCCCGGGCUUAACCUGGGAAUGGCAUUUGGGACUGCAAGGCUGGAGUUUGGCAGAGGAGACUGGAAUUCCUGGUGUAGCAGUGAAAUGCGUAGAUAUCUGGAGGAACACCGGUGGCGAAGGCGGCAUCCUGGACCAACACUGACGCUGAGGAGCGAAAGCCAGGGGAGCAAACGGG
rnacentral:rRNA from 1 species